CCCUGAAUGGGACACAGGCUAAAGGGUUAGGGGUGCAGUAUGAUCUCUUCCUGCGGACCCUUGACUGCGCCCUGCGGGGAGAAGCGGUGCCCCCCCAACUUCUGACGACCGGCGGAAGGGAGAGGUGUUCAGAGGCGGCGAUACUGGGCUCGAGUCCCAGUAAGGAGGCCAAGCCCCCACCCUCCGAGACAGCCCAACGCAGGAAGUGGGCCGUACACUCUCGGAACCAGAAACCACCCUGAGCCCUGGGGGAGUCCGCAGGCUGGCUGGGCUGCGGUGCGGACCGAAGUUCGUGUGGCAUGGGGUUACUGGCGAGACACCUGACGACUGCAUCCGGCGUGCCCUUGGCUGUAGCCACUCCACUUGUGUGACUCUCUCCUAAGGAGACGGUAAAGAAAGGUCAAAGAUUUUUCGAAAAUGCCCAGGGUUUACUUAUCCACCCCAGGAAGAAGAAAGCAGCCUAAAAAGUUGGAUCCAGAAAGUAAGAAAGGGGAUUUAUUGGGACAUUUCUUUUCCCAGACCCCACAGGAAAUAUGGUCACCAAG